rnacentral:rRNA from 1 species
GCCUACGGGGCGCAGCAGUGGGGGAUAUUGCACAAUGGGGGAAACCCUGAUGCAGCGACGCCGCGUGAGCGAUGAAGUAUUUCGGUAUGUAAAGCUCUAUCAGCAGGGAAGAAAAUGACGGUACCUGACUAAGAAGCCCCGGCUAACUACGUGCCAGCAGCCGCGGUAAUACGUAGGGGGCAAGCGUUAUCCGGAUUUACUGGGUGUAAAGGGAGCGUAGACGGCAGUGUAAGUCUGAAGUGAAAGGCAAGGGCUCAACCCUUGGACUGCUUUGGAAACUGCGCUGCUCGAGUGUCGGAGCGGCA